rnacentral:lncRNA from 1 species
AAGCAAGCCAGUAAGUAUCAACCCUCCGUGGCCCCUGCAUCAGCACCUGCUUCCUGCCCUGUGUGAGUUCCAGACCUAACUUCCUUUGCUGAUGAACAGCAAUGUGGAAACAGCUGAGGACUGAACCCAAGGCCUUGCCCUCUACCCUCUACCACUGAGCUAAAUCCCCAACCCUGAGCCAUGAUUGUCUGCUCUACGGCCUCCUGGUGACAGCUGGCAGAAACUAAGAAGUACUCUUUCUCCAGCAGGGUCUGUCGCAGGGUUUUCACCAGCAGCACUGUAACACUGGGGACCCUGUCAUUUGCCAAGGUCAGCAAAUGAGGCAGUCUGGCAGACAAAGACAAAGGCUUGUCAUCCAGACCAUUUUGGACACCUGCCGAAAUUCUCUACCAGCUCAUUGAUGAGAUCUACUCCGAAUGUUGGUGGUGUUGCCGUGUAGUGGAGUUUCUUCAUCAUUUCACUGACCAACUUGUAGGGAAUCCAACGGAUUGAAGAAACUCUGCCUGCACACAGAUUCAGAGCAAUGGGACUGAAGUAAUCAUAAACAUCUCUGGGACUAUAUAACUCUAGAAGUACAAUCAGCUGCUCUGCCAGUUCGGCUCCAAAACCCAAAUUUCUACUGUUUGUCUGUCACCAAAAUCUCCUGGAGCUGAUAAAGGUACUCUCUUCUUUUAUCAGUGUGAAGAAGCUUCAGAAAGUCAUGCAAGUGUUUAAGAAGACCUAUCCUGACUUCAUCAAGGUCUUUUUAAAAAAAUCCAUUGAAAAUUGGAACCAGGUCUGCCUCUGUCAGCUGGUCUCCAAGAAUCACCGCAAGCUCAUGGAUAGAGUAGACUAGAGUUCUUCGAACUUUCUACUGCAUGUCUGACGCUAGGGUCUCAUUAGUCUCCCUCAAGCAAUGCCAGUUCUGUCUGCCAAGAGUCAGGGCCACACCCAGCAGACUGUAUGCACAGUGCUUAGGGAUCUCAGUGUCAACUGUUUGUGCUCAAGAAGGGUCAGUCAUUGACAAGCACUGAUCUAAUAACACUUGUGGUACAACAUCCUGGAUUUUGGGUCUCCUAUCAUCAUCCCGGCUGAAGCCCCCGCCGGGGCUUAGGUCCGCACUUCUAUCGACAUAAUCAGGAGUGGCCUCCAUAUUCUCCUAAGCAGCGCUGAUCAAAGGCACACAAGUGUCGUGAUUUAUGUUACAGCCUGGAAGAUCACGGACACGCACUUCAUCUUGUAGCUCACUCUGCUGCUCUACACCACUGGUCUCUUGGUGAGCAUGCAAGCUGAAAGCACGCAGGGCAGCCAACAGCACUUCCACCUGUGCUUUCACAUCCGGGUCAUCCAUGUGCGGCUCAAGGUUUUCUAUCAUUUCUUCUAGUUCCUUCCGGGUAGCCAUGGGGAUAUUGGGAGAGCCUGGUGCAGGGCUUGCAGGUUCAUCUCCUGUUCUCUCUGGGCUGAGUCUCUCCUCGGGGUUCUGUUGGAGUUCUUUAUCAAGAUCUAUUUUAGGUAGAGGAGCCCUUCCAGAAAUGCAAGGAAUUGAACAUGUCCUGGUCCUAAGGGGGUGGCCUCUGGGGAGCUGGUGCCAGUGUCUGGCCUGGAUGCAGACUUGCUGUUGGUGUCAGGCUUUCUGCCAUUCUCAUCCUUGCUAGCUGCUUCCUGAGGAGACUCUGAGGACAAAGUACAGAGUAAGGAGCUGUCCACUGGAGCAUGCACCUCACCUGCAGAGUGCCCAGGUGUCUUGGCAGCAUAGCCUUCGAGUGUACUCUCCAGCCUGGCACUGGAGUGAGGGACACUGAGGUCUAUAGGAGCAUCCUCUGGCCUGUGAUGCAAUUCUUCUACGACAUCAUUGUCUCUUAUCCCAUCUUUGUAUUCUACUGAGGAGUCUUCUGAGCUUUUGCUCUCAUCUUUAAAGCCCUGGCCCAAGCUUAAUGGAUUAGCAAACGUGGAUAUGAAAGGCCCCAGAGAAUGAAAGGCUGCUUGGUGAACUCAAUGCGAAGGAUCACUGAUCGAGUUAAUAAAUAGUGCUGAUAACUUUGUCCGUCGGAUUUCUUGACAUGUUGCACAGGAGACAGCCAUGAAGCACUCAGCGUAGGAUGCCCCACACAUUAUCAGAACACAGCUGGAAGAACCUGGGCAGCUACAUUUCUUCUGUAGCUUGCUGGCCAACGUCACUGCAAAUAUCUCCAAAAUUGGCAGUACAGACCUUCUGGACAUGAAACAUUCAACAGUAAGAGCACAUCUCGCAAAACCUGGGGAGGAUGAAAUGCUCAGUAAUGUCCUUCCCAACCAUGCACCACCUUGCACAUUACAGCAACAGCCUCUGUCUUCACAUCAUCAUUGCUGUCUGGGGCAGUCAGGUCUAUGAGGACAGGGCACACCAUGGUCUCCAUGUCAGUCAAGUCGCUCAAUCAGGUCUUGCUCCAACGGAGCCAGCAAUGCUGCCUGACUGGGUUUCCUCAUGUGGUUAUUCUGGCCUUCAAGGUCUCUAACCAAAGUUGGGAGUAUGUACUUGGAAAAAGCAUAUGGGAUAGAAGGCAGGUUCUCUUGACAAAACAGUGCAAUGUUUUGUUCCAUCAGCGCCAAUCUCACAGUUGGUUCCAAGUCAUCAGCUAAUCGGCUGAUUUUUUCCAAGACAGCAAUGCAGUCUCUCUCAUCAUUGCAGACUUCCCUUAGAGUAUCCAGCAAACUCCAGGCCACCAUUUGUCUUUUUAAUACUUUCUCAUUUGCAGCAUACUUGUCUAGCCUCCCCAAGGGUGUCAACUUUUCAUCUUCUGAGACCAAGUCCAGGGAUCUGUCCCCGUCCUUCCAGCAGGUCCUCCUGGAGCAGUGAGAGGUCUGCCAGCUUGUGCUCUGGACUUCGUUUUUAUUGUUAAAUUAAUAUAACAGUUUU